UACGAGGGGUGCGAGCGUUGCUCGGAAUUAUUGGGCGUAAAGGGUAGGUAGGUGGUUUCAUUUGUCUGGGGUGAAAGCCUUGGGCUUAACUCAAGAAGUGCCCCGGAAACGGUGAAACUCGAGUACUGGAGAGGUGAGUGGAAUUCCGAGUGUAGAGGUGAAAUUCGUAGAUAUUCGGAAGAACACCAGUGGCGAAGGCGGCUCACUGGACCGGUAUUGACGCUGAGGUGCGAAAGCGUGGGG
rnacentral:rRNA from 1 species